UUUCAUACAUGUUGUUGAUUUUUAAAAUUUUUAUUUAAUAAAUACAUAUAAAUUAUUAGGUAUAGGUAUACUUUUCAUUUUUGGAAAUAAGUAAUAACAUGGCUACUCCAACUCCCGAUACACCAGAACAAUACGACCAGUUUGAUGACGAGGAGUCAGAUCAACAAUUAGGGGCAACAGCUUCUGGCAGAAAGAGACUAUUUAGUAAAGAGCUUCGGUGUAUGAUGUAUGGAUUUGGUGACGAUCGAAAUCCGUACACUGAAAGUGUGGAUUUUUUAGAAGAUCUUGUUAUUGAGUUUAUAACCGAAACUACACACAGAGCAAUGGAAGUUGGAAGACCAGGCAGAGUGCAAGUUGAAGAUAUAAUUUUCUUAGUUCGUAAGGAUUUUCGUAAAUAUGCUCGUGUUAAGGACUUGCUUACAAUGAAUGAAGAACUUAAGAAAGCUAGAAAAGCUUUUGAUGAGGUUAAAUAUGUUGAAGAUCAACAAUAGUAUUGGCAGUCAAAAUGCUGCUCAUGCUUCUUAGACUGAUGCAAAGUGAUAAUAGUUUACAAAAUGGACCAAAUAUUAUUGAUGAAGACAAGAAUAUUUAUGGCAAUAUAAAAUGCCUGAAUAGCAGUUUGUGGGGAGUUUAUAUAAGUGAAAAAUAAGUUAUAAUAAAAGACAUGAAUGAG